GGGGAUGUACAUGGUUUCGACAAGAAUGAUAAAGAAAUUCAUAUUGCGUGUACGGCGUCGCGCUGUCCGCCGGAAUAUCCGUCCAGCGCAAAUCUAAGUGCUAACGCAUUUAAAAACAUUGCAGCUGCAAUGAAUAGAGAAGCCGCUUCUGUGGCACCAUCUUUCGCAUUCGCUGCAUAAACCUUUCCCCUUUUUGGGAAAGUCGCUUCGCUCCGGACGUCUUAUAAGGAAACGAAGUGUCAUUCAUAAGGCUCGAGGGUUUGUGUGUUAGUAGCGCAAAACCUCUAAAAAUUACUACUAGAACUUAAUUGUGGCUUUUGCUUGUUCUCUAUCACUUUUAGGUUCUCAAACCAACAGAAUAAGCUACACAUGUAGACGUAUGCGUUUCUCAUUUUUGGACGGGGGUUCGACUCCCCCCAUCUCCACCA
rnacentral:tmRNA from 1 species